rnacentral:tRNA from 1 species
AAUAAGAUGGCUGAAGGUUAGGCGGUAGAUUGUAAAUUUAUUAAUAAGUUAUGAGAUUAACUUUCUUAUUA